UCUGCCCCUCCCCCACCCGCUGGGGCACGCGCUCUCUCUCUCUCUCUCAAAAAUAAAUAAACAUUUAAAAAAGAGAGAGAGUUGAUUAGCGGUUGCCAGGGCUGGGGAAAGGGGAAAAUGGGGAGUGAUGAUAAAUGGGUAUGGGGUGUCCUUUUGGAGUGACGGAAAAGUUCUGGAAGCAGGUGGUGGUGAAUGCACCAAGUGUCGCUGAAUUGUGCGCUUGCAAAUGGUUCAGACGGUAAAAAGUGCGUUUUUAUCGCAAUCCAAAAGCAAUGUGUUCGAGGUGUAGAGAUACACAGACCACAAGGGACAAGGGGCGCCGGUGAAUUGGCUGGAGAGAUGGCCCGUCAGUUUCCUGCAGUAGCUGUCACCAAUUAGCACCCCCUGGGGGCUUACACCAGCAAGGCUUUGUCCUCUCACAGUUCUGGAAGCCGAGAAAUUCCCAGAUGGGUCUCUGAGCCAAAACCAAGGGGGCGGCGGUCCCGCCGGAGGCUCGAGGGGAGAAUCCGUUCCUUGCCUCUUCCGGCUUCUGGAGGCUUCCGGGGUUCUUUGGCUUGUGGCCCCAUCACCCCGAUCUUGAAGGCCUGCGUCGGCAAAUCUCUCCGCCCCCCGUCUCCGCUUGCCCACCUCCUCCGUGUGUCGUCUAAGCUGCCUCUGCUUGUCUCUUACAAGGAGGUCGUGACUGCGUUUAGGGUUCACUUGGAUCAUCCAGGGUGAUCUCCCCGUCUCAAGACCCUUUAUUUGUUUGUUUAUUUAUUUUUGGGAGAGUGCAAGCAGGGGAGGGACAGAGAGGGGGGAGACAGAGAACCCCAAGCAGGCUCUGCACCAUCAGCGUGGAGCCCGACGCCGGGCUCGACCUCGCGAGCCCGCAAGAUCAUGACCUGAGCCGAAGUCAGAUGCUUAACUGGCUGAGCCCCUCCUGGCGCCCUCCCCGCCCCCCAGACCUUUUACUGGGUCACACCGGCAAAAUCCUUCUCUGUCCUAUAAGGUGACAUUCACGGAGUUGGGACGCGGCUCUCUUUGGAGGGCAGUAUUCAGCCUACCACGAAUGGCCACCAACCAUCCCUCGACUCUCUUUAUGCCCACGCCCCACGGAUCAAGAGGCGGCAUCCGCUUGCGUUCCCCCGCGGCAAUCUUGUGACCGGCUUUGACCGACAGAAUGUAGUCGAAAGUGACGCGAGCCAUUGUGGUGGCUUCUACAGUGGCUCCCUUGCAACCUGGCCGCCGCCAUGCCGGAGAGAGGUCGGUCUGGGCCACCCCGGGGAGGAGGGGGGCCGCUGGAAGAGAGACGGAGACCUUUGGAGACAGAGAGACGGGGAGAGACAGCAGCGCAGGGACACGAGGCCAAGGAAUCGUCAAGAAAGUUACGGGCUCCCGGCCGCAGGCCCGGCGAGGCUUUGAGCCACGCGUGUCGGUUACCUCAGACGCCAGCCCCGCGGGGCCUGCAGAUAACUGGGACCCCAGCUGACACCCGGCCGCUGUCCGGGGACAGACCCCGAGCCAAGACCACCCAGGUCAAGCCACAGAGCCCACGAGAACUCACCCGUUGCUUCAAGCCAAUGCGGGAACUGAGGCACCGAGAGAGGAAAUCUUUGCGCCCUUGCUGGCUUCCGUGACAGUUCAUGUAGAUCCCUCGCGAGCUGACUCCCGUGGGACUCGCAGCAUCAUCACGUCCCUCGUCACAUCCACGUCCCAAGCCCUGGAUGUGCCGCUCUUUGAAGCUGAGGUCUUAGCUUCCUGCCGCCAGGCUCGCCCAUUUCCUUGCCGGGUAAGAUAGGUGUCCUGGUCCCCUGUGGCGCUCUGGGCCUCAGCCACCUCCGUCCCCGCCCUUUCUAGACAUGACACUUGGGGCAAGUUGCUUCCCCUCUCCGAGCCUGUUUCCUGCGCCGGUAGAAGGGGGGGCGAUCCGCAGGAGGACCCGACACAGCGCCUGGCAUCGUUGCUGUGGGCCCCAGGAACGUGAGAUGCUCUUAUGCCCCUGCAUUCAAUGCCCUCCUGCUCCACACCCCUUCCCACCUUGGAGGGGAAAGUCCGCUCACGCCCGUAUCUUCCUCCAGCAACCCCCUCUUUCUCUACAAGGUUGUCCAAAGCGUGGUCUACAUGCUCUGCCUCAGUUUCCCCGACUUCCACGCCCUCCUCCUCACUCUAGAUCAGCCCGCCUGCUGCCCCACACCCUCCACCAAACUGCUCCGGUCCAGUCCUAAAUCCCAAGGUCGCUUUCUACUGCUCAUGUUUUCCCACCUUUCACUCCGUCAACCACGCCCUCAUUCUGGAAACGCUCUCCCCUCGGCUUCAGGUGGAGCCAGUCCACCGGUUUCCCACCUACCUCUCUGGCGGGUCCUUCCCCCCCCCCCGCCCCCCCCAGGCGGGUCUCCCGCGUUCCUUGUGCCCCACCCCCUCCGUGGCUUGGUGAUGCCUCACUGCCCACAAAUCCCAAGCCCCUGUCAAGCACAUACCCCCCUCCCCUGAGCUCCAGGACACCCCCCCUUCCCCGAUGUCUCUGGAUGUUCCCCUAGGCAUCACCCUCAGCAUGUACUCACCUGUACCCAGCGAGUUCUCCAGACCUGUUCCCCAGAUUAUCCCCACCUUCAUUCCCCAAACCCAGGAGAAACCUCACUGCCUCUGUGGCAAAUUCUCCACCAUGGCUCCCUCCCCACCCCUCACCCCCCACUUCCCGGACCCACUCUCCACCCUUCUCCCGCCCGCUCUGUGUCCCAAGAGGCUGACCUCUAUGCACCACCUGUUGACCUCUGGCUUCUGGUGGAGUUCAGCCAAUGGAAGGCACCAGCCGGAGACUGGUGGGCGGGAGGAGGGUCAGGUUGGGGUGCUCACUCUCCAGCCCCCCCCACCCCGUCUCUUGGGUGUGGGCUGUCCCUGCCCAUACCCCGGGCCUCCGCUCUAGCCACCCCUUCAAGUCUCAGUAGCUUCAGCUCACACUUCAGCCUUCGAGCUGGGGUGGUGGAACUGCUCCCUCUACUGCUGGCCCCGGGUACUGCACCUUCCCCGAGCUUGUUUUCCUUGACCUUGGCCCCCUCCCCUCCCCCCGCCUUAAUCCCCUAAAAUAGCCCUUUCGUUAAACUCUCCCUGGCUAUUCCGUUUGGGUGCACUCUCUCUUUCUUGCCAGGGCCCUGCCUGUGCGCUCUCUCCGAACCCUCCCAUCCAGCCUGACCCAUUAUCUCGAGCCACUACCCCCUUUCACCCCCCCCCCCCCCCCACUCCAGGACCCUUCCUUGGCCGCCCCAGCCUCCUCCCUGAUCUCGCAGCCUCGGGGCUCACAGGCAGCCAGAAGGCAAGUUGGAAAAUGUAAAUCAGACCGCAUCAACUGCCUGCCCUCCCUCCCCCCGUCCCCCUGAAAUCCCUUCCAAAGCUCCCCUUUGCUUUUGGGAUACAUUCGAAGCUCCUGAGAGUGGCUGAUAAGGUCUCUUGGGCUCUCUCCACUCCCCACCCUCAUGCACCCCAUACUCCAUUCGUGCAACCCUCUUGCAGGAGUAUGAAAAAGCCGGUAACUCACAAGUCCGCACACCUUUACAUAGGCUGUGCCCUUCACCUGGACACACACACACACCCCUCCUCCUAUAUCAGGAUUCUGAGAAAAUUACUUGCUUUAUUCGGGAAACUCCCAUCAACCCCAGCUCCUCUGAUCAGGCAAAUCUGGGUCCUCCUCUUUUGUGUUCCCAAGAUGCUCGGUGAAAGGGAAUAGUUGGUGGCGGCUGGAAUGGGGGCGUGGCUAGGAAAGCUCCCGGGGCGAGGCGCGGGGGCGUGGCUAGGCAAACUGGGUGGCGAAUGGGGGCGUGGCUACGGGAAGCUGGUGUGAACUUUUGGGAGUGGCUGGUGCCCGUGGGUGUCCUGCAUGGAAAGACCCAGAGUACCUGGUCUAUUUCACAGUUGCCCAAAUCUCAGUCAGAGACCUCAUGAGCUCCCUCCUCUAGAAUCCCAACUCCUCGCGAGAAGGCUGUUUUGUUUUGUUUUGUUUCAGGCAGAAUUUCAAAGUUUUAUGGCAACUUGUACAGAAAUCACAGAGAAGAGACAACGACCGGUGCUGAUGAGCUAGGAGUAGAGAAAGGGGAGUGGGCAACAGGUCUGGGAUGUUGGGGUGAUGCACAACAGGACGAUAGGACGCUAAAAACCUGUGGGAAGCAGGGUGUUACGGGGGUUGCAGGGUGAUCCUCAGGGUCCCAAGAAGUGGGCAGCACUCCGCACACCCCAAG